rnacentral:rRNA from 1 species
AUGACUGCUAUGCCUUGCAAUCAUGCAGUCUCUGCAAUUGUGAAAGCUAAGUUGCAACCUGAAGACUUUGUUGAUGAUUUCUUCAAGAAGGCAAUGUACAAAAAAGCAUAUGGCCAUAUCAUAUUUCCUGUCCUUGGUCCAAAUCUGUGGCCAAGGUCAAGAACUCAGGACAUAGAGCCUCCAGUUUUCAGAGACAAAGUUGGGAAGCAACAAACAAAGAGGAGGAAAAACCAAUUUGAGAAGCCAGCACCAAGAGAUACAUCUAGGAUGGCAUCCAUUACUUGUAGCAACUGCAAACUUGUAGGGCACAGAUACACUGUGUGCUCCAAGCCCUUGAAACCAGCUCUUGCUAUGAGACAAAACCAGCAUCAGCCAAACAGGUCACAUGCUUCUGCUUCAUCUACGGCUGCUGCACCAACAAGGAAGAGGCCAUCUCCAUGUACAGCAGAUGUUGGGACUGCUCCUCCCAGGAAGAAAGCUGCACCUGCUGCAACUACACCUACUGCUCCUCCAAGGAGGAGAGCUGCACCUGCUGCUAUUGCACCUACUGCUCCUCCCAGGAGGUCUCCCAGGAAGAAUGCUACCCCAGCACCUACUGCUCCUCCAGGGAGGUCUCCCAGGAAGAAAACUACCCCAGCCGGUACAUCUUCUACAUCUGCUGCAGGCCAUAGGGGAACAUUUCAUGCUCCAAGACAGACUGGAAGGAAGAGGACAGUUUCCUACAAGAUGAAAGAGUACCUAUAUGCUUAUGGUAACUAG